rnacentral:rRNA from 1 species
UGAAUUUUCCGCAAUGGGCGAAAGCCUGACGGAGCAAUGCCGCGUGAAGGAUGACGGCCUAUGGGUUGUAAACUUCUUUUCUCAGAGAAGAAAUUUUGACGGUAUCUGAAGAAUAAGCAUCGGCUAACUCUGUGCCAGCAGCCGCGGUAAGACAGAGGAUGCAAGCGUUAUCCGGAAUGAUUGGGCGUAAAGCGUCUGUAGGUGGCUUAAAAAGUCUCCUGUCAAAGAUCAGGGCUUAACCCUGGGCCGGCAGGAGAAACUCUUAGGCUAGAGUUUGGUAGGGGCAGAGGGAAUUCCCGGUGGAGCGGUGAAAUGCGUAGAGAUCGGGAGGAACACCAAAGGCGAAAGCACUCUGCUGGGCCACAACUGACACUGAGAGACGAAAGCGAUGAGUAUUU